AUGCUUACAUCAGCAGCAUGCAUACAAAACUGGAAGUAGACAAGAUUAACAUGGCCCUGUGCAAGAAUGACACACACACCUCUGAAGCAGUCUAUGUUUUU
ensembl:snRNA U6 U6 spliceosomal RNA